rnacentral:rRNA from 1 species
ACUCCUACGGGAGGCAGCAGUGGGGAAUUUUGGACAAUGGGCGGAAGCCUGAUCCAGCCAUGCCGCGUGAGUGAAGAAGGCCUUCGGGUUGUAAAGCUCUUUCGGCGGGGAAGAAAUUGCUUGGGUUAAUACCCUGAGUAGAUGACGUACCCGAAUAAGAAGCACCGGCUAACUACGUGCCAGCAGCCGCGGUAAUU